AGUGAACGCUGGCGGUAGGCCUAACACAUGCAAGUCGAACGGCAGCACAGGAGAGCUUGCUCUCUGGGUGGCGAGUGGCGGACGGGUGAGGAAUGCAUCGGAAUCUACUCUUUCGUGGGGGAUAACGUAGGGAAACUUACGCUAAUACCGCAUACGACCUACGGGUGAAAGCCGGGGACCUUCGGGCCUGGCGCGAAAGAAUGAGCCGAUGCCCGAUUAGCUAGUUGGCGGGGUAAGAGCCCACCAAGGCGACGAUCGGUAGCUGGUCUGAGAGGAUGAUCAGCCACACUGGAACUGAGACACGGUCCAGACUCCUACGGGAGGCAGCAGUGGGGAAUAUUGGACAAUGGGCGCAAGCCUGAUCCAGCCAUACCGCGUGGGUGAAGAAGGCCUUCGGGUUGUAAAGCCCUUUUGUUGGGAAAGAAAAGCAGUCGGUUAAUACCCGAUUGUUCUGACGGUACCCAAAGAAUAAGCACCGUAAUU
rnacentral:rRNA from 1 species